rnacentral:rRNA from 2 species
GUGGUAAUGCCGGAUGUUCCAGUUGAUCGCAUGGUCUUCUGGGAAAGCUUUCGCGGUAUGGGAUGGGGUCGCGUCCUAUCAGCUUGACGGCGGGGUAACGGCCCACCGUGGCUUCGACGGGUAGCCGGCCUGAGAGGGCGACCGGCCACAUUGGGACUGAGAUACGGCCCAGACUCCUACGGGAGGCAGCAGUGGGGAAUAUUGCACAAUGGGCGCAAGCCUGAUGCAGCGACGCCGCGUGAGGGAUGGAGGCCUUCGGGUUGUAAACCUCUUUUAUCGGGGAGCAAGCGUGAGUGAGUUUACCCGUUGAAUAAGCACCGGCUAACUACGUGCCAGCAGCCGCGGUAAUACGUAGGGUGCAAGCGUUAUCCGGAAUUAUUGGGCGUAAAGGGCUCGUAGGCGGUUCGUCGCGUCCGGUGUGAAAGUCCAUCGCUUAACGGUGGAUCCGCGCCGGGUACGGGCGGGCUUGAGUGCGGUAGGGGAGACUGGAAUUCCCGGUGUAACGGUGGAAUGUGUAGAUAUCGAAAAAAAACACCA